rnacentral:rRNA from 1 species
UGGGGAAUAUUGCACAAUGGGCGCAAGCCUGAUGCAGCCAUGCCGCGUGUAUGAAGAAGGCCUUCGGGUUGUAAAGUACUUUCAGCGGGGAUGAAGGGAGUAAAGUUAAUACCUUUGCUCAUUGACGUUACCCGCAGAAGAAGCACCGGCUAACUCCGUGCCAGCAGCCGCGGUAAUACGGAGGGUGCAAGCGUUAAUCGGAAUUACUGGGCGUAAAGCGCACGCAGGCGGUUUGUUAAGUCAGAUGUGAAAUCCCCGGGCUCAACCUGGGAACUGCAUCUGAUACUGGCAAGCUUGAGUCUCGUAGAGGGGGGUAGAGUUCCAGGUGUAGCGGUGAAAUGCGUAGAGAUCUGAGGAAUACCGGUGGCGAAGGCGGCCCCCUGGACGAAGACUGACGCUCAGGUGCGAAAGCGUGGGGAGCAAACA